CUUUGAAGGUGAUUCCAGUCUUUAUCAAGUCAGAUGUUUAGUUUAGCGCUGUAUUACUCUUGGUAUGGGAAACCUAAUACAGUACAGUGUAAAACAAAUUCAGAUAUUGUGAAAAAGUAUAUCAGUGUUCCCAAGAUAAGGAAAAGUACAGCUUCGUGUGCAGUAUUUGUAUUCAGACUUAUUUUCUGCCUGUGAAAUAGCUGUGGGUCAAAAGACACAUAAAAAUCAACUGAAGUAGCCUUUAAGACAGUUGCUCACCCAUGUGUGUACUGCCAGAAGCAAUGAUGUGAGUAAGGCAUGACUGUGAACUGUGGGAUAUCUUUCUCUGAGUUGAACAGAAAGGAUGUGCCAUGCUGUGUGAUCAGGACAGUUAAAAGAUUUCAG
ensembl:lncRNA